rnacentral:rRNA from 1 species
AUUGAACGCUGGCGGCAGGCCUAACACAUGCAAGUCGAACGCGUGGCGGACGGGUGUGUAAUGUCUGGGAAACUGCCUGAUGGAGGGGGAUAACUACUGGAAACGGGAGCUAAUACCGCAUAACAACAGCUGUGCCUAGAUGGGAUUAGAUUGGUGGUGGGGUAACGGCUCAACAAGGCGACGAUCCCUAGCUGGUCUGUGAGGAGGCCCAACCACAGUGGAACUGAGACAAGGGCCAGACUCCUACGGGAGGGAGCAGUUGGGAAUAUUGCAAAAUGGGCGCAAGCCUGAUGCAGCCAUGCGGGCUGUAGGAAGAAGUCCUUCGGGUUUUAAAGUACUUUCAGCGGGGAGGCGUUACCCGAAGGAGAAGCACCGGCUAACGCCGGGGCAGCCGCCGCGGUAAUUC